rnacentral:other from 1 species
AAACCCCUGCUGUGUACGUGUGAUUAGCCGUUAAGUUUUUGCCAACACCAAAAACCAGGGAACCUGCCUCUGUGCGAGGCUGUAUACCCGCUAUUGAGUGGGAAACAUUAAUCGCACAGGAGGGUACCCACCUGCGAUGCAGGUUUAAACUACGGCACCACGGCUCGGUGGGGUUUUG